UACCUAAUUUCUGGGAGUCGUCCUGGAAAGAAAGGCCCUAUUGGGGUGGACGUUCAACCUCCUCCUCAUAAAAAACAACAACAACAAGCAGCUGACCCCUAGUUCUGCCAUUCAAGGAAGAGCAGCCCCUGACCUCAAGAUGUCUAUGGCUCAACAACCUUGACUCUGAACUUGUUUAACAACAAGAGCUGACUGAGAGGUCUCAUGCUCAAGCCUGGCUGCCACCUCUGCUCCCAUGUAGCAGAAGUGCCAGGUGAGGCAGACUCCUGGCAUCGAUGUCGGUACCACAGCCACGUCCCAAUAACUUGGUGGGCCACCCCCUCUCUUCAGACCACCUGGCCGACCAUGCAGGCUGCAGUCCAAUACACUGCCUCCCCCUGCCCCAUGGUGGUGAAGCUCAGCACUGGGCGACACAAGGGUAGGGAUGGCUCAGAUCCUGGAUCACAGCUUUUGUAGACAGUCUGUCUAGAGAUUUAAUAUCCCCAUGGGGUCUUGGAUGCAUGCUAAAAAUUAAUGCUGGGAGCUAAUUAAUUGAGAAUCGGCACUGUUUUCAAAGCAGCUGUACCUUGCCCGUGGCUGUAUCUCACAAGCUUUCGGUGGCAUCAAGGCUCUCCAUGAUGGGGCCCCACUGCCCUCUUCUAGCCUCAUCUGACAGUUCCUCCAGCUAACCCAAUCUAGAGAGGAUGUGUCGGAAUAGGAGCCUGUGGUGGUAGACAAGGCACUGGAGCGAGAAAGACCUGGGUUCAAAUCCUGACCCUAAGCAGUCAUUCCACAUCCCUGAGCGUCAGUUCCUUCAUCUAAUAAGCCUCUAAGGCCCCUUCCAGCUCCCCUACAUUCACACACCCUAGCUUACUCUUUGAAAUGCUUCUGUCUAAUUCUACCUCUCCUUGGAGCAUCAAAUUAAAUACCACCUUUUUUUCUAUCCUCCCAUCUACUCUAUAUCUCGGGGCCACCAAAUAUAUCACGUACCUCUUACUACACUGGCAUACCUCAGCACCCCAAAUGGACUAAAACAAAGGACGUGGUACCUUCAAGUUUAGCUUUGACAUCAAAUGCUUUCAUUGUCUUUUAGUUACAAUCAGGAGUGGUUUUCUUACAAUUUUUAAAAAGAACAAUUUUUUUUUUCUGUCAAGCAUGUUCUACUGGUACUUUUUCUGGGACCCAUCAAAGUACACAUCAGUACACAUGCUUCCUGACUCUCAGCAGAAACAGGGUGUGUUAUAGAUUACAAAAACAAACACUGAGUGUGCUUUUAUCAA